rnacentral:rRNA from 1 species
UGGGGAAUAUUGCGCAAUGGGGGAAACCCUGACGCAGCGACGCCGUGUGAGGGAAGAAGGCUUUCGGGUCGUAAACCUCUGUCAGGAAGGAAGAACCUCUCAAGGCUGAACAAGCCUUGGGACUGACGGUACUUCCAGAGGAAGCACCGGCUAACUCCGUGCCAGCAGCCGCGGUAAUACGGAGGGUGCAAGCGUUAUCCGGAUUCAUUGGGUUUAAAGGGUGCGUAGGCGGGCUUGUAAGUCAGUGGUGAAAUCUCUCAGCUUAACUGAGAAACUGCCAUUGAUACUGCAGGCCUAGAGUAUAGAUGACGUUGGCGGAAUAUGACAUGUAGUGGUGAAAUACUUAGAUAUGUCAUAGAACACCGAUUGCGAAGGCAGCUAACGAAACUAUAACUGACGCUGAGGCACGAAAGUGCGGGGAUCAAACA